ACACACACACACACACACGACAGGCAGACACACACACACACACACACACACAGGACAGGACAGGCAGACACACACACACACACACAGGACAGGCAGACACACACAGGACAGGCAGACACACACACACAGGACAGGCAGACACACACAGGACAGGCAGACACACACACACAGGACAGGCAGACACACACACAGGACAGGCAGACACACACACACACACACAGGACAGGCAGACACACACACACACAGGACAGGCAGACCAACACACACACAGGACAGGCAGACCAACACACACAGGACAGGCAGACACACACACACACACAGGACAGGCAGACACACACACACACACAGGACAGGCAGACACACACAGGACAGGCAAACACUCACACACAGGACAGGCAAACACACACACACACACACACACACACACAGGACAGGCAGACACACACACAGGACAGGCAGACAGGCAUGCCUAACUAGGUGAGAGAAGACCAGGGCAGAUUUUAAGAAGAGGUGACUGGAGGACAGAGACAGAAGGUGUCAUUGUCUCAUCACCACCUCAGGUAACACAAUAAGCCUUUUCUAGCCGUGUGUGUGUCUUAGUGUUAGCGUGUGUGUGUGUGUAUCUUAGUGUUAGCGUGUGUGUGUGUGUGUCAGUGUGUGUGUGUCUUAGUGUCAGCGUGUGUGUGUGUGUCUUAGUGUCAGCGUGUGUGUGUGUAUCUUAGUGUCAGUGUGUGUGAACUGGUGGGUGGAAAGGUGAGGGACUGAGGCAGUAAUCCUGUCACAGGAGACGUAACACCCA
ensembl:lncRNA